rnacentral:rRNA from 1 species
CCUAUGGGGGGCAGCAGUGGGGAAUAUUGGGCAAUGGGGGGAACCCUGACCCAGCGACGCCGCGUGAGGGAAGAAGGUUUUCGGAUUGUAAACCUCUGUCCUUGGUGACGAUAAUGACGGUACCUGCAGAAGAAGCUCCGGCUAACUACGUGCCAGCAGCCGCGGUAAUACGUAGGGGGCGAGCGUUAUCCGGAUUCAUUGGGCGUAAAGCGCGCGUAGGCGGCCGCCUAAGCGGAACCUCUAACCCCGGGGCUCAACCUCGGGCCGGCUUCCGGACUGG